rnacentral:rRNA from 1 species
GGACCAAGGAGUCUAGCAUGUGCGCGAGUCAUUGGGACUCUAACGAAACCUAAAGGCGUAAUGAAAGUGAAGGUCCGCCUAGCGCGGGCCGAGGGAGGAUGGGCUUUCCCUUGGGAUCGCCCCGCACUCCCAGGGCGUCUCGUUCUCAUUGCGAGAAGAGGCGCACCAAGAGCGUACACGCUGGGACCCGAAAGAUGGUGAACUAUGCCUGGUCAGGACGAAGUCAGGGGAAACCCUGAUGGAGGUCCGUAGCGAUUCUGACGUGCAAAUCGAUCGUCGGAACUGGGUAUAGGGGCGAAAGACUAAUCGAACCAUCUAGUAGCUGGUUCCCUCCGAAGUUUCCCUCAGGAUAGCUGGCGCUCGCUUCUCGCGAGUCUCAUUCGGUAAAGCGAAUGAUUAGAGGCAUUGGGGUCGAAACGGCCUCAACCUAUUCUCAAACUUUAAAUGGGUGAGAUCUCCGGCUUGCUUGAACUGUGAAGCCGCGAGAUAUCGGAUCAGAGUGCCAAGUGGGCCACUUUUGGUAAGCAGAACUGGCGCUGUGGGAUGAACCAAACGCCGAGUUAAAGCGCCUAAAUCGACGCUUAUGGGAUACCAUGAAAGGCGUUGGUAACUUAAGACAGCAGGACGGUGGCCAUGGAAGUCGGA